rnacentral:rRNA from 1 species
GGACUACCCGGGUAUCUAAUCCUGUUUGCUCCCCACGCCUUCGCGCCUCAGCGUCAGUCUCGGUCCAGAGCGCCGCCUUCGCCACCGGUGUUCUUCCCAAUAUCUACGAAUUUCACCUCUACACUGGGAAUUCCACGCUCCUCUCCCGAACUCCAGCCAUCCAGUAUCGCGCGCCAUUCCCAGGUUGAGCCCGGGGCUUUCACACGCGACUGGGAUGGCCGCCUACGCGCCCUUUACGCCCAGUAAAUCCGAACAACGCUCGCCCCCUUCGUAUUACCGCGGCUGCUGGCAC